UACGGAGGGUGCAAGCGUUAAUCGGAAUUACUGGGCGUAAAGCGUGCGCAGGCGGUUUGUUAAGUCUGUUGUGAAAUCCCCGGGCUCAACCUGGGAAUUGCGUUGGAGACUGCAAGGCUGGAGUCUGGCAGAGGGGGGUAGAAUUCCACGUGUAGCAGUGAAAUGCGUAGAGAUGUGGAGGAACACCGAUGGCGAAGGCAGCUCACCGGCCUGGUAUUGACGCUGAGGUGCGAAAGCGUGGGGAGCGAACAGG
rnacentral:rRNA from 1 species